UACGUAGGGGGCGAGCGUUGUCCGGAAUUAUUGGGCGUAAAGAGCUCGUAGGCGGUUUGUCGCGUCUGCUGUGAAAACUCGGGGCUUAACCCCGGGCCUGCAGUGGGUACGGGCAGACUAGAGUGCGGUAGGGGAGACUGGAAUUCCUGGUGUAGCGGUGAAAUGCGCAGAUAUCAGGAGGAACACCGAUGGCGAAGGCAGGUCUCUGGGCCACUACUGACGCUGAGAAGCGAAAGCAUGGGGGAGCGAACAGG
rnacentral:rRNA from 1 species